rnacentral:rRNA from 1 species
AAUAUUGCACAAUGGGCGCAAGCCUGAUGCAGCAACGCCGCGUGAGGGAUGACGGCCUUCGGGUUGUAAACCUCUUUUAGUAGGGAAGAAGCCUUCGGGUGACGGUACCUGCAGGAAAAGGACCGGCUAACUACGUGACAGCAGCCGCGGUAAUACGAAGGGUGCAAGCGUUGUCCGGAAUUAUUGGGCGUAAAGCGCUCGUAGGCGGCUUGUCGCGUCUGCCGUGAAAACCCAGGGCUCAACUCUGGGCGGGCGGUGGGUACGGGCAGGCUAGAGUGCGGUAGGGGAGAUUGGAAUUCCUGGUGUAGCGGUGGAAUGCGCAGAUAUCAGGAGGAACACCGAUGGCGAAGGCAGAUCUCUGGGCCGUAACUGACGCUGAGGAGCGAAAGCAUGGGGAGCGAACAG